CUGAAUUAACCCCGGGGAUGCCAGAGGGACUCUUAGGUCUUGGUGGUGGUUAUUAAUAAGCGUCAUCGUUCACCUUAAAGAACAGAGGGCAGGAGUUUGAGUUCUUUUCAGCCAGAAGAAAUGCUAGGUGUGUAACGUGGAGUUAGCCAGAUGGGCUGUGUUCUGCAGAAACUCACUGUGCAGGGAUUCACCAUUCAUGAGUCUAAAACUCAGAGAACUGAUUUCACCGAUGGAAUCUGUCUGCAGAAUUUUCCACUCCCUCAGCCGAUGUGUGCAUGUAGGGCCAUGUUCGGCGGUCACUUCUGCAGGAGAGAAAUCAUUUCCAUACCAGGGCUGGAUGCCCUCUGUAUUCCUUGGCUUGUGGCUUCGCCUUUCAUCUUCAAAGCCAGCUAAGUAUUUUCAACGACGUGAUGACUGGAAGGCAUCGGCGCUGCACUACAGUUUUAAGUCUGGCGAACACGCGGACAAGGACUCUCCAGCCAGCCGGUUCCCAGCAUGACUCUUAGGAAUAUGUGGGAGAUUCUCUCCGGGUUCGACCAAGGUCAAGUGGGGGCUCUGAGCACAGGAGCCCUAGCGAGGGACCAGCGGGGCGGGGACAGAGCUUUCCUCCCGGAAAACCCUCUGCUCUCUCCGAUGCGGGCCCGCCGAGGCCCGAGCGGGGUUGGAAGCCUAGAUAAGCUUCCAGCGGCAACCGCCGGGUCAGAAGAACAACCGCGAAGCUCCGGGCUCUGCGGCAGGACCCUCGGCGGCCGCCGUACCGCAGAGCCGAACCCGCGCGCCCUGAGCGCAGCGGCAGCUGAGUACUCAGACCAACCUGGGCGACUCCGGAGCAUCCUUAGAGCCUCGGGAUCUUGCUUUCCUCACCAGUAAAAUGGCUUCCUGUCUCACGGGCUGUGUGAGGACUGAAUGAGGUAAUGCUUAUGCAGUCAUAAAGUGCUUAUCGCAAUGCCCCAAGCCGAUGCGGGCAGUCAGCCUAGAGAGGCAGUUUCCUCUUCCUUACCUGAUAGGCAUAUCGCGUCAUCUACACCCCUGGCACUACCUGGGGGACGGCGUGGGCUCUCCAAAAAGACCUCAGAUCCCUUUACUCUAGAAGGAGGAUGAAGCUUCUGGAAUGUUAAAAGAAUGCAGCGAGACUGUCUCUAAAGGGGGUUGUCCCCUGGCUGAUGCUAAAAUAAAUUACUUUCUCUGCC